GACGAACGCUGGCGGCGUGCCUAAUACAUGCAAGUCGAACGCCGUGGGGACGGGUGAGUAACACGUGGGUAACCUCCCAUCAGAGGGGAUAACACUUGGAAACAGGUGCUAAACCGAUACUGAUGGAGGAACCCGCGGUGCAUAGGCUAGUGGGUGAGGUAACGGCUCACCAAGGCAACGAUGCAUAGCGGACCUGGGAGGGUGAUCUGCCACACUGGGACUGAGAGACGGCCCAGACUCCGACGGGAGGCAGCAGGAAGGAAUCUUCGGUAGUGGACGGAAGUCUGACCGCGCAACGCCGCGGUAAUAC
rnacentral:rRNA from 1 species